GAACAAGUGUGGUGUAGUGGUUUGAGCAUUGGACUAGGACCUCUAAAGACCAGGGUUCAAUUCCCAGCUUGGCCA